rnacentral:rRNA from 1 species
ACGCACGCUGGCGGCGUGCUUCACACAUGCCAGUCGAACGGAAAGGCCCUGCUUUUGUGGGGUGCUCGAGUGGCGAACGGGUGAGUAACACGUGAGUAACCUGCCCUUGACUUUGGGAUAACUUCAGGAAACUGGGGCUAAUACCGGAUAGGAGCUCCUGCUGCAUGGUGGGGGUUGGAAAGUUUCGGCGGUUGGGGAUGGACUCGCGGCUUAUCAGCUUGUUGGUGGGGUAGUGGCUUACCAAGGCUUUGACGGGUAGCCGGCCUGAGAGGGUGACCGGCCACAUUGGGACUGAGAUACGGCCCAGACUCCUACGGGAGGCAGCAGUGGGGAAUAUUGCACAAUGGGCGGAAGCCUGAUGCAGCAACGCCGCGUGCGGGAUGACGGCCUUCGGGUUGUAAACCGCUUUCGCCUGUGACGAAGCGUGAGUGACGAUAAUGGGUAAAGAAGCACCGGCUAACUACGUG